GAAUCUUCCGCAAUGGACGAAAGUCUGACGGAGCAACGCCGCGUGAGUGAGGAAGGCCUUCGGGUCGUAAAGCUCUGUUGCCAGGGAAGAAAGCCACUUGGAGUAACUGCCUGGUGGUUGACGGUACCUGAGAAGAAAGCCCCGGCUAACUACGUGCCAGCAGCCGCGGUAAUACGUAGGGGGCAAGCGUUGUCCGGAAUUAUUGGGCGUAAAGCGCGCGCAGGCGGCUUUGUAAGUCGGGUGUUUAAACCUGGGGCUCAACCUCAGGUCGCAUCCGAAACUGCAAGGCUUGAGUGCAGAAGAGGAAAGUGGAAUUCCACGUGUAGCGGUGAAAUGCGUAGAGAUGUGGAGGAACACCAGUGGCGAAGGCGACUUUCUGGGCUGUAACUGACGCUGAGGCGCGAAAGCGUGGGGAGCAAA
rnacentral:rRNA from 1 species